GACGAACGCUGGCGGCGUGCUUAACACAUGCAAGUCGAACGGAAAGGCCCUGCUUUUGUGGGGUGCUCGAUUGGCGAACGGGUGAGUAACACGUGAGUAACCUGCCCUUGACUUUGGGAUAACUUCAGGAAACUGGGGCUAAUACCGGAUAGGAGCUCCUGCUGCAUGGUGGGGGUUGGAAAGUUUCGGCGGUUGGGGAUGGACUCGCGGCUUAUCAGCUUGUUGGUGGGGUAGUGGCUUACCAAGGCUUUGACGGGUAGCCGGCCUGAGAGGGUGACCGGCCACAUUGGGACUGAGAGAGGGACCAGAAGACAACGGGAGGCAGCAGUGGGGAAUAUUGCACAAUGGGCGGAAGCCUGAUGAAGCAACGCCGCGUGCGGGAUGAAGGGCUUCGGGUUGUAAACCGAUUUAGCAUGUGACGAAGAGUGAGUGACGGUAAUGGGUAAAGAAGCACCGGCUAACUACGUG
rnacentral:rRNA from 1 species